UACGUAGGGUGCAAGCGUUGUCCGGAAUUAUUGGGCGUAAAGAGCUCGUAGGCGGUCUGUCGCGUCGGCUGUGAAAACCCGGGGCUCAACCCCGGGCCUGCAGUCGAUACGGGCAGACUAGAGUGCGGUAGGGGAGACUGGAAUUCCAGGUGUAGCGGUGAAAUGCGUAGAUAUCUGGAGGAACACCGGUGGCGAAGGCGGCAUCCUGGACCGACACUGACGCUGAGGAGCGAAAGCCAGGGGAGCAAACGGG
rnacentral:rRNA from 1 species